GAUGAACGCUGGCGGCGUGCUUAACACAUGCAAGUCGAACGGAAAGGCCCUGCUUGCAGGGUACUCGAGUGGCGAACGGGUGAGUAACACGUGGGUGAUCUGCCCUGUACUUUGGGAUAAGCCUGGGAAACUGGGUCUAAUACCGAAUAUGACCACUUCUUGGAUGGGGUGGUGGAAAGCUUUUGCGGUAUGGGAUGAGCUCGCGGCCUAUCAGCUUGUUGGUGGGGUAAUGGCCUACCAAGGCGUCGACGGGUAGCCGGCCUGAGAGGGUGUACGGCCACAUUGGGACUGAGAUACGGCCCAGACUCCUACGGGAGGCAGCAGUGGGGAAUAUUGCACAAUGGGCGCAAGCCUGAUGCAGCGACGCCGCGUGGGGGAUGACGGCCUUCGGGUUGUAAACUCCUUUCGCAACCGACGAAGCUUUUGUGACGGUAGGUUGAGAAGAAGCACCGGCUAACUACGUGCCAGCAGCCGCGGUAAUACGUAGGGUGCGAGCGUUGUCCGGAAUUACUGGGCGUAAAGAGCUCGUAGGUGGUUUGUCGCGUCGUUUGUGGAAUACCGCAGCUUAACUGCGGGGUUGCAGGCGAUACGGGCAUAACUUGAGUGCUGUAGGGGAGACUGGAAUUCCUGGUGUAGCGGUGGAAUGCGCAGAGAUAUGGAGGAACACCGAUGGCGAAGGCGACUUUCUGGUCUGUAACUGACGCUGAUGUGCGAAAGCGUGGGGAUCGAACAGGAUUAGAUACCCUGGUAGUCCACGCCGUAAACGAUGAGUGCUAAGUGUUAGGGGGUUUCCGCCCCUUAGUGCUGCAGCUAACGCAUUAAGCACUCCGCCUGGGGAGUACGACCGCAAGGUUGAAACUCAAAGGAAUUGACGGGGACCCGCACAAGCGGUGGAGCAUGUGGUUUAAUUCGAAGCAACGCGAAGAACCUUACCAAAUCUUGACAUCCUUUGACAACUCUAGAGAUAGAGCCUUCCCCUUCGGGGGACAAAGUGACAGGUGGUGCAUGGUUGUCGUCAGCUCGUGUCGUGAGAUGUUGGGUUAAGUCCCGCAACGAGCGCAACCCUUAAGCUUAGUUGCCAUCAUUAAGUUGGGCACUCUAAGUUGUCUGCCGGUGACAAACCGGAGGAAGGUGGGGAUGACGUCAAAUCAUCAUGCCCCUUAUGAUUUGGGCUACACACGUGCUACAAUGGACAAUACAAAGGGCAGCGAAACCGCGAGGUCAAGCAAAUCCCAUAAAGUUGUUCUCAGUUCGGAUUGUAGUCUGCAACUCGACUACAUGAAGCUGGAAUCGCUAGUAAUCGUAGAUCAGCAUGCUACGGUGAAUACGUUCCCGGGUCU
rnacentral:rRNA from 1 species